AGAUGAAGGAUGAAAUGGAAGAUUCGAUUGCCGAUCUUUCUGCUUUGAUUCUGUGGUGAAAACCGUUUUGUUCUGAAAACAAAGCUACAGCUCUUCUAAUGACCUCCUGUGGCAAUUCAUUCACCAGGCUGAUUAAUGGCUGCAGAGCUGGUAUGCUCCAGUGGAAGCUAGGAAUGAAGGUUUUAGACUUCAUGUCGGCUGUCUUCUUGUUUGGGAUAAGUCUCCUUCUGUGUUCCUGCUGCUGCUUUCCUUAGUUUAGUCCUCAGUGAAAUGUGGAGACUCUUCCCACCACCUAACUGUUUCCUAAGCAGCAUUUUACUCUUUCUCUUAUGACAUGGAAAUAACACACUGACAUCAACUAGACACAUGUUUAUAUUUUUAUAAGGUGAUAUAAAUGAAACUGGGAUGGAUAUUUAGAAUUUAGACAUGAUGUAGUGGAAAGAAUACUAGAUUUGGGUUUAACGGCCCUGUGUUCAAGUUCAGGCUCUGCUAUUUGCUCUCCGUGACCUUUGGCACAUUAUUAAGCCUCUCUUCCCAUAAGUUUCUUCAACUGUAAAUGAAAGGAUUGAACUAAAUCAGUGGUUUGUGCCAUGGAUUCCUUUGACAGGCUAGUUAAGCCUCUAGAGGCCUUCUCAGAAUAAUGUUUUUAAAUGCAUAAAAUAAAAUGCAUAGGAUCAUAAA